rnacentral:rRNA from 1 species
GGGGAAUCAGCCUUACGACCGUUGGCAGAGAGAUAGACUAGUUAUAAGCCUUGGUUGUGGUGUGCAAUUUAUUGCUCAUUACGGUCUUGGCGACUGUCUUUCCUCUAAUAAGCUAAUGGCUGUUGGGUGCACUUCCCCUCGUCCUUUGGACGUCGCGACUCGCUGACGACUUGUUCUGGAAGGGACACUGCUUGUCACAAACUGGUAAGCAGUGGCGGCUGGAGAUGUAGCACUAGUGCGCUCUGAGCUGCCUUCCAGAGUCGGUGAGAAGUCAGCUCUCUAGUCUGAAUUCCCGCUGUAGUUGAAGCGAAGGAUAGCUGGGCUUUGUUAGGCUGUGUUGUGCCUUCUGUCUGGUUGUUGAUUUUGUCUCUGUGACUUUGCUUUUUUUUUAAGCUUUUUCGACGUUCUUUAGGGAGUGUCGUUUAGGUUUUUUUAAAAGGCUCGGUUGCUGGAGCGGACUGGGCAAAAAGGCGCUGUCCCGCUUUUUUUGUAAAAAGCUGCAGCGGAGAGGUUGAUGCCUGUAACAAAAAUGUAAAGAGAGCAGAGUUUUGCGACGAGUAAGGUCGGGGGACAUUUGACCCGUCUUGAAACACGGACCAAGGAGUUUGGCAGAUGCGCGAGUCCGAGGGUUGUAAGAAUCCUAUUGGGCGAAGUGAAAGCGAAUUUGGGCCCAUCUUUUUUUUUUUUAAAAAAAGAAGGAGCGCAAGCCCGGGACUCUCUGGAU